UAUUUUUUUUCUUUGUUUGCCCUAAUUUGUCAUGUUGAUGUUUGUUAAUCUAUAUCUUUAUUUUACAACAAGAGAAGAAGUUGGAAUCUGCAAAAAUGAAGUGAAGUGAUUUAGAUCUUGUGGAUGAAAAUGAAUCUUUAUGCGAGGUUGGACCUGAAGCAAGUCACAUACUUGUGGAGCAUUAUGCUAUUACAUCUAGAAGACGGUAUAUUCAAUAACUGUAACCGGAUGCAUCUGUUUGAUGUCGUUAACCAAUAUUGUGCCAUAUUUGCUGAUAAUACAUCAGAAAGUAAAGAGAAUUAUGAUGGUGGACUUUCUUUCUGCUGGGCCAUGCAUCAGAUUGCCUCUCACCUUAAGAUACUG